AUUGAACGCUGGCGGCAGGCCUAACACAUGCAAGUCGAGCGAGCAGCGGACGGGUGAGUAAGGUAUGGGGAUCUGCCCGAUAGCGGGGGAUAACUACUGGAAACGGUAUCUAAUACCGCAUCCUAGCGGAUGUACCCCUAUGGGAUUAGCUAGUAUGUGAGGUAAUGGCUCACCUAGGCGACGAUCCCUAGCUGUGCUGAGAGGAUGAUCAGCCACACUGGGACUGAGACACGGCCCAGACUCCUACGGGAGGCAGCAGUGGGGAAUAUUGCACAAUGGGCGCAAGCCUGAUGCAGCCAUGCCGCGUGUAUGAAGAAGGCCCUAGGGUCGUAAAGCACUUUCAGUAGGGAGGCGGUACCGACAGAAGAAGCCACGGCUAACUCCGUGCCAGCCGCCGCGGUAAUUC
rnacentral:rRNA from 1 species